rnacentral:rRNA from 1 species
AUGAAGAAGUAUGACAACUCGUGGGAGUCAGACCUCGAUGCUCUCCUCCCAUAUGGCUUUCUGCGUUAGACUAAGGGCACAUGUCUGGUCGUCACAUCAUGGGCGCCGCAGCGCAAAGUGCUAGAGCACGACAUGGUCGGCUAUUUCUUGAUGCACUGCAGGUGAAACACCGUGCUAGAGUCGGGCAUGGCCGGCAUGCCCAUGCUGCCCUAGCCGCUCUACCCAGGGCAAGGACUUAUCAGGGUUUGCCUGGAGAAACAGUCGGGUUUGGCCGUGGCGGUGGUAGGGUACGACAAGGAGGUGGUUGAAUCCCACGAGGUGGCUUCCAAGGUUAGGUGGAUGAUAGAGUCUAGCGGCGGGAUGGUGCUCCGGGAGCGGACGUUGGCGGCCAUGCAGUAG